UGGGGUUUCUUUGGGGGAAGGGUGGGGCGCCGCUCUGCCCUAUGGGGGAUCGCUGUGCCCUAUAGGGGAAGCUGUGCCCUAUGGGGGGUCGCUGUGCCCUGUAGGGGAAAGCUGUGCCCUAUGGGGGAGCUGUGUCCUAUAGGGGAAAGCUGUGCUCUAUGGGGGAGCUGUGUCCUAUAGGGGAAAGCUGUGCCCUAUGGGGGAUCGCUGUGCCCUAUAGGGGAAAGCUGUGCUCUAUGGGGGAGCUCUGUGCCCUAUGGGGGAUCGCUCUGCCCUAUAGGGGAAAGCUGUGCCCUAUGGGGGAGCUGUGCCCUAUGGAGGAGGGCUGUGCCCUAUGGGGGAUCGCUCUGCCCUAUAGGGGAAAGCUGUGCCCUAUGGGGGACACAUAUCCACGUAUGGGAUUCGGCACUGGGGUUUGGGAUGAGGGUUUAGGGUUGGGAUUUGGGCUUUGGGAUCUGCUCUGGGUGUAGGACUGGGAUUGGGAGCAGGGAUUGGGAUUUGGGAUUGGGAUUUGGGAU
rnacentral:lncRNA from 1 species